rnacentral:rRNA from 1 species
AAACGCUUGAAGUCAGUCGCAUUGAUCAGGGAUCAACCUUGCUUCUGCUUGGUGCACUUUCUGGUCAAUGGGUCAGCAUCAAUUUUGACCAGUGGAGAAAGGUCAAGGGAAUGUGGCAUCUUUGGAUGUGUUAUAGCUCUUGGUCAUAUACAUUGGUUGGGAUUGAGGAACUCAGCACGCCGCAAGG